CAAUCAAUUUAUUUCCUAUUUUAUAAAAAUUCUACACCUUUCACAUAAUUUUGGGGAGACAGUGAUUUUCUAUUUUAUGAUUUUUAUCAAGGAGUAAGGAUCGUAGAUUCGUAAGAGCAAGAGAGCUUGAUCCUGAGAACUUGGGAAGCGCUUUCCAGCCGAGGAAUGACCGGAGAAGAGGUGGCAGGUCCCCCCGGACCAAAAGUCUUCCGUCUUCUUUGCUUCGUCGGCGCCGGAGUCAUCUGCGCGGUUACAAUUAACAAGACACGGAAUAUGGAGCGGAGGACGCUGAUGCAGCAGCAGAUGAAGGUAAUGCCAGAUAACUCAUCGGAAGCCCUCGCCGAAGACAGAGCCGGCGAAUAAGGUGACACCGGUGGCAGGCGUGAACAGCGAGCUUUUGAUUGCCUGAGUCGUACCCGGAAGGACACUGUCCUUAAAAACUAUUCCGGCACACCUAGACGACGGGCCGGCAGCUCCCCAGGAUUAAACAAGCACUUCCUGCGAUAGAGCAAGGGAACAGAAUAAUAGAGGCUAAAGCAAGCACAGACGAACAGGAGUCAAAGGGAGGAGACAAUUGUGAAGGCUUGCACUUUGUUCUGUCCUCACCCAUGGGUAUAUAUAGGCCGAUGAAGGAGACACAAACGUUGGGUUAUAAUUACCGGUUAAUGGUUCGGUUAUACACACAUUAAACAAUGAACGUUCAGCGUUUAACACUUUAGUCACAGACGCCUCAAACAGCAAAACGUGCAUGUCCAUUAAUUCAAAAACGUUCAGCGUUCAUUAAUCUGGAGACGUUUGGCAGACAAAACAUUAAUCUUCAAAAUUCGGUUUUCAGAAGAGGUUUAAUGUCCAGAAACUGUCAAAGCCUCAAGUUAAAAGUAAUUAUUUAUUUAAUCAUUUUUGUAAAAAUAACCCGGUAAAAGGAACCCAAUACCUCUUGAACUCGCGCGCAGGGGGGCAAAUCGACUGAUUUCAACUGCGAUUGCCCUGAGUUGGCCUGUCUCUUGUGCGCGAGGUCACUUCUCCUUCAAGCUCAUUUUGCUAGCCCAUUUCAUUCCUUAGUAUAUAUACAUUAGGAGAUUUCUUCCUUUAGUCAAUGUGGGACUUUGACACACACACACUUUUGACACAUAUACAACAGUGGUGAGGUGUGAGAAGUAGAUUCAAGAUUCAAGCCCUCCUAGCUUCUAAUGUGAUGAAAAUAAGUAGUCAUGUAAUAUUUGAUUGUUUACAUAUUCUUGUUAUCAUUAUUCAAUAUUAAUCAUUUUUUUCUACUGUUUUUUCUUCCACGAGCAGAAGAAACAUUUUUUAUUUAUAAAAUCAUUUUUCAUUUCACUUAUUGUAUGUUAAAUGGGGCAAUCAACUUUUGAACUAGCCAUUAGGCUUUUGAUUGGAGUAAGGUG